GGCCCAUAAACAGAAAUUAAAUUGAAUUUAAAAUCAUCUUCUUGGUGUCUUAGCUUAAAACGAAUAAAGAAAUCUCCUUCCUCAAUUUCCCCAAUAUCAAACGUUGACAGAAGAACCCCUAGAACCAUGCCACCGGAUCUACCACGUGGAGCCGUACAAUGCCAAAUAAAAUCUCUGCCCGCACAAAUAGUGUUCAGAGUGUUCUGUGGAAAGUUAGCUCUACCAGUUUCCGAUAAGGCAAUAAAAUCUAAGUUUUUCUCCUUAGUGAGGUCUGAUAAAAAUCUAUAUUUCUUAUUAUCUGCAAACCCGUUACAAUUCCAAAAGAUGCCUUUCAUUUUGAACCACUUUUAGUUUUAUUUUUAUUUUUAUUUCUACUAUUUUUCUUAUGACGAGGGUGUGUCGAACUUUUAAGAGAUAUAGGGGUCUGUAGAAUCAACGGAUCACAGCCCCAUGCUCCUAAACCCUCUAAAAUCUCUGAACAAAUAAGGUUAAGAGCUUCUAAAUCGACACUGUCAUCCAAAGAACAAGUACUGGAAGCAUCCUCAACUAGAACAACAUUGUCUAAAAGUUUAUUAGUACCAGACUUUAAUCUAUUAAAUUCAACAUCUCGUAACUUCUUCAAAGCAUUAAAAACAUUUGUCUCAUUAUUUCCCAACACUACACCUAAAGAGCCUACUGUAGAGCUUAAAGAAAUAUCAUUG
rnacentral:lncRNA from 1 species